ACUUGCCCCUUUUCAUCUUCACACUCCCGCGCGAAACCCUCUUCAGUUCGCAGGCUCUCUCUCACUCUCCGUUUUCCGGAAGAGCACUCGUCGGGAUCUCUCUCUCUCUAUAUGCGUUAAUUCUUCGGCCAGGCAGUCGUUGAUCAAUACUCCUGGCCGUUUAUCCAUCACUGUUUCUCCGGCAAUAAAUCAACCUAUUGGCGAUUAACCUCUCGGAAGACGAAGGCAUUUUCUUGUGCAAAGAUGGCGUCGGAGGCGUAUCUGGGCAAAAUGUCUGUUCGCUAGAACUGCGAUCCUACCUGUGCUUUGCAUACAUCGUGAAUCCUCUCCUUUUUGAAAUGAGAAAUCGAGACCUAAAGUAAAGUGUUUCUUGCAAUUUGUGCUUGAAAUGGGCUAGAUUUGGUUGACAGAUCAGAAACGGCCCAAUGAUGAAUACAAAGGACUAUUGCUGUCAUUCAGGAUGGAUUUCAGCUAAAUUCUAUUGUCUAGAGUCUCAAAUUAAAAGGUCUACCUUAAAUCGACCAACUUGGCCAAGUGUUUGAAGGGUGCAUCCUCGGCAAGCAAUUACGGAGGAGUUUUCCAAAGGAGUCUUUAACAAGAACAACACCACUUGAGCUUGUGUAUCUGGAUGUUUGUGGCUCAAAUUGCCCUUCAUCUUUGGUAAUGAUCAGUAGUACUGGAGGAAGUGGGUCCCAGUGAAAAGGGUUCACACGAGGGGGCAAUUAAAGCUGUUCAAACUCCACGGGUUUUGCUGUGAUUUGGAACUCAGUGCUGUACGAUGAUGUCUUGUUCUUUUCUGUACUAUUCUUCCUAGUUUUUUCCUUUCUCAAGUUAAUACAAAAUGUGUGUGUGUGUGGGUGUGUGUGUAUUAAUCAUUCUAUAUAUCUAAAGAUAAACCAUUUACUAAAAUAUUCCAUUUAUCAUAAAACUAUCAGCACCACAUAUUUCUUCCAACACUUUCUGU